GAUGAACGCUGGCGGCGUGCCUAAUACAUGCAAGUCGAGCGAACAGAUGAGAAGCUUGCUUCUCUGACGUUAGCGGCGGACGGGUGAGUAACACGUGGGUAACCUACCUAUAAGACUGGGAUAACUCCGGGAAACCGGGGCUAAUACCGGAUAAUAUUUUGAACCGCAUGGUUCAAUAGUGAAAGACGGUUUCGGCUGUCACUUAUAGAUGGACCCGCGCCGUAUUAGCUAGUUGGUAAGGUAACGGCUUACCAAGGCGACGAUACGUAGCCGACCUGAGAGGGUGAUCGGCCACACUGGAACUGAGACACGGUCCAGACCCCUACGGGAGGCAGCAGUAGGGAAUCUUCCGCAAUGGGCGAAAGCCUGACGGAGCAACGCCGCGUGAGUGAUGAAGGUCUUCGGAUCGUAAAACUCUGUUGUUAGGGAAGAACAAAUUUGUUAGUAACUGAACAAGUCUUGACGGUACCUAACCAGAAAGCCACGGCUAACUACGUGCCAGCAGCCGCGGUAA
rnacentral:rRNA from 1 species